GGCAACUUGGCCGAGCGGUCUAAGGCGCCACGUUAAGGAGAUAUCCUUAAUCACCAUCUCAUCGAGAUAAGUUCCGUGGUCCGAAAGGGCGUGAGUUCGAAUCUCACAGUUGUCA
rnacentral:tRNA from 1 species